rnacentral:tRNA from 10 species
GCGGGUAUAACUCAAUGGUAGAGUGUUAGCCUUCCAAGCUAAUUACGAGGGUUCGAUUCCCUCUACCCGCUCCA